rnacentral:rRNA from 1 species
UACAGAGGGUGCAAGCGUUAAUCGGAAUUACUGGGCGUAAAGCGUGCGUAGACGGUUAUGUAAGUCAGAUGUGAAAGCCCCGGGCUCAACCUGGGAAUUGCAUUCGAGACUGAAUAGCUAGGGUACGGUAGAGGGAAGCGGAAUUUCCGGUGUAGCGGUGAAAUGCGUAGAUAUCGGGAGGAACACCAGUGGCGAAGGCGACUUCCUGGCCUGUUCUUGACGCUGAGGCGCGAAAGCUAGGGGAGCAAACGGG